UGAACGCUGGCGGCAGGCCUAACACAUGCAAGUCGAACGGCAGCGGGGGAGCUGCUCCCGCCGGCGAGUGGCGGACGGGUGAGUAAUGCCUGGGGAGCUGCCCAAUCGAGGGGGAUACCAGUUGGAAACGACUGCUAAUACCGCAUACGCCCUGAGGGGGAAAGGUGGGGAUCUUCGGACCUAUCGCGAUUGGAUGCACCCAGGUGGGAUUAGCUAGUUGGUGAGGUAACGGCUCACCAAGGCGACGAUCUCUAGCUGGUCUGAGAGGAUGACCAGCCACACUGGAACUGAGACACGGUCCAGACUCCUACGGGAGGCAGCAGUGGGGAAUAUUGCACAAUGGGGGAAACCCUGAUGCAGCCAUGCCGCGUGUGUGAAGAAGGCCCUUCGGGUUGUAAAGCACUUUCAGCGAGGAGGAAAGGGGUGAUGCUAAUACCAUCAUCCUGUGACGUUACUCGCAGAAGAAGCACCGGCUAACUCCGUGCCAGCCGCCGC
rnacentral:rRNA from 1 species